rnacentral:tRNA from 1 species
CCUGGUGGCUCAGACGGUGAAGUAUCUGCCUAAAAUGCAGGAGGACCCAGGUUCAAUCCCUGGGUCAGGA